rnacentral:rRNA from 1 species
UACGGAAGGUCCUGGCGUUAUCCGGAUUUAUUGGGUUUAAAGGGAGCGUAGGCCGUGGAUUAAGCGUGUUGUGAAAUGCAGGUGCUCAACGUCUGCACUGCAGCGCGAACUGGUUCACUUGAGUGUGCGCAACGCAGGCGGAAUUCGUCGUGUAGCGGUGAAAUGCUUAGAUAUGACGAAGAACUCCGAUUGCGAAGGCAGCUUGCGGGAGCGCAACUGACGCUGAAGCUCGAAAGUGCGGGUAUCGAACAGG